rnacentral:rRNA from 1 species
ACGGGAGGCAGCAGUGGGGAAUAUUGCACAAUGGGCGAAAGCCUGAUGCAGCGACGCCGCGUGAGGGAUGACGGCCUUCGGGUUGUAAACCUCUUUCAGUAGGGAACAAGGCCAGCUUUUGGUUGGUUGAGGGUACUUGCAGAAGAAGCGCCGGCUAACUACGUGCCAGCAGCCGCGGUAAUACGUAGGGCGCAAGCGUUAUCCGGAAUUAUUGGGCGUAAAGAGCUCGUAGGCGGUUUGUCGCGUCUGCCGUGAAAGUCCGGGGCUCAACCCCGGAUCUGCGGUGGGUACGGGCAGACUAGAGUGAUGUAGGGGAGACUGGAAUUCCUGGUGUAGCGGUGAAAUGCGCAGAUAUCAGGAGGAACACCGAUGGCGAAGGCAGGUCUCUGGGCAUUAACUGACGCUGAGGAGCGAAAGCAUGGGGAGCGAACAGGAUUAGAUACCCUGGUAGUCCAUGCCGUAAACGUUGGGCACUAGGUGUGGGGGACAUUCCACGUUUUCCGCGCCGUAGCUAACGCAUUAAGUGCCCCGCC